AUACCGUGAAACUGCGAAUGGCUCAUUAAAUCAGUUAUCGUUUAUUUGAUAGUACCUUACUACUUGGAUACCUGUGGUAAUUCUAGAGCUAAUACAUGCUAAAAACCCCGACUUCGGAAGGGGUGUAUUUAUUAGAUAAAAAACCAAUGCCCUUCGGGGCUCCUUGGUGAUUCAUAAUAACUUCUCAGAUCGCAUGGCCUUGCGCCGGCGACGGUUCAUUCAAAUUUCUGCCCUAUCAACUUUCGAUGGUAAGGUAUUGGCUUACCAUGGUGGCAACGGGUAACGGGGAAUUAGGGUUCGAUUCCGGAGAGUUAGCCUGAGAAACGGCUAACACAUCCAAGGAAGGCAGCAGGCGCGCAAAUUACCCAAUCCCGACACGGGGAGGUAGUGACAAUAAAUACUGAUACAGGGCUCUUUUGGGUCUUGUAAUUGGAAUGAGUACAAUUUAAACCUCUUAACGAGGAACAAUUGGAGGGCAAGUCUGGUGCCAGCAGCCGCGGUAAUUCCAGCUCCAAUAGCGUAUAUUAAAGUUGUUGCAGUUAAAAAGCUCGUAGUUGAACCUUUGGCCUGGCUGGCAGGUCCGCCUCACCGCGUGCACUUGUCCGGCCGGGCCUUUUCUUCUGGAGAACCGCAUGCCCUUCACUGGGUGUGUUGGGGACCAGGACUUUUACUUUGAAAAAAUUAGAGUGUUCAAAGCAGGCCUUUGCUCGAAUAUUACAGCAUGGAAUAAUAGAAUAGGACGUGCGGUUCUAUUUUGUUGGUUUCUAGGACCGCCGUAAUGAUUAAUAGGGACAGUCGGGGGCAUCAGUAUUCAAUUGUCAGAGGUGAAAUUCUUGGAUUUAUUGAAGACUAACUACUGCGAAAGCAUUUGCCAAGGAUGUUUUCAUUAAUCAGUGAACGAAAGUUAGGGGAUCGAAGACGAUCAGAUACCGUCGUAGUCUUAACCAUAAACUAUGCCGACUAGGGAUCGGGCGGUGUUACUAUUUUGACUCGCUCGGCACCUUACGAGAAAUCAAAGUG
rnacentral:rRNA from 1 species